UGGAAAAUUUUUAAUCCUUUCAUAGUUUUUUAAUACAUCUGUUUCGAGUUUUUUUUUUUAAAUUACAUGUCAGGUGGGAUGGGUUGUUUUUUUUAUUUAUUUAUAUAUUUUUUUGAGAUAUUUGUGUAAAUCAUAUGUUAGUUUUUUUUUUAGAAUUUAUUUCAGUUUAAGUCAUAACACGUGUGAGUUCUAUCAAAUUUUAUUCUAUUUUUUUUAAUUGAAGCAAACACAUAUUUUAAAUUGAUCUAAAACUUAGAUAUUUUAGAUUAUUA
rnacentral:lncRNA from 1 species